rnacentral:rRNA from 1 species
UUAGAGUUUGAUCAUGGCUCAGGAUGAACGCUAGCGGCAGGCCUAAUACAUGCAAGUCGUACGGUAGAGAUACUUUCGGGUAUUUUGAGAGUGGCGCACGGGUGCGUAACGCGUAUGCAACCUACCUUUUACAGGGGGAUAGCCCGGGGAAACCCGGAUUAAUACCCCAUGGUAUUAUUGAUCUGCAUGGGUUGAUAAUUAAAGAUUUAUCGGUAAGAGAUGGGCAUGCGUAGGAUUAGCUAGUUGGUAGGGUAACGGCCUACCAAGGCGACGAUCCUUAGGGGUUCUGAGAGGAAGGUCCCCCACACUGGCACUGAGAUACGGGCCAGACUCCUACGGGAGGCAGCAGUAGGGAAUAUUGGGCAAUGGUCGGAAGAGCUGACCCAGCCAUGCCGCGUGCAGGAAGACGGCCUUACGGGUUGUAAACUGCUUUUAUGAGGGAAGAAAAAGGCCAUGCGUGGCAAAUGACCGGUACCCUGAUGAAUAAGCCCCGGC